UACGUAGGGUGCAAGCGUUGUCCGGAAUUAUUGGGCGUAAAGAGCUCGUAGGCGGUUUGUCGCGUCGAUCGUGAAAACUUGGGGCUUAACCCUGAGCUUGCGGUCGAUACGGGCAUGACUGGAGUUCGGCAGGGGAGACUGGAAUUCCUGGUGUAGCGGUGAAAUGCGUAGAUAUCUGGAGGAAUACCGGUGGCGAAGGCGGCAUCCUGGACCGACAUUGACGCUGAUGAGCGAAAGCUAGGGGAGCAAACGGG
rnacentral:rRNA from 1 species